CGAAGCGGUAUGAGCUAGACAUGGGCAGGUUGAAGGCAUAGGAAACUAUGCUGGAGGACCGAACGGGUUGGUGCUGCAAAACCUUCCGAUGACCUGUGUUUAGGAGUGAAAAGCUCAUCGAAUACCGUGAUAGCUGGUUCUCUCCGAAAUGCAUUUAGGUGCAGCCUGCAUUUUGAGAUCUUGAAGAGGUAGAGCUCUGGAAAGGCUAGGGGUGUCGAGAGACAUUACCAAACCUUACUAAACUUCGAAUGCUUCAAGGAAUAUUGCAGAGUGGGACUACGGGAGCAAGUUUCGUAGUCAAAAGGAUAACAGUCCAGACUUCUGAUUAAGGUCCCUAAAGUAAUGCUAAGUGGAAAAAGAGGUGUCUUUACUUAUACAUCCAGGAGGUUUGCCUAGAAGCAGCAAUCCUUUAAAGAAAGCGUAACAGCUCACUGGACUAGCGAAGAUGCGCUGAAGAUGUAACGGGGCUAAGCAUUAUACCGAAAUCGAAGACCAGUGUAGUAAUACACUGUGUGGUAGGAGAGUGUUCUUACAGGAUGAAGCUACAUCGCGAGAUGUGGUCGACUAGUAAGAAGUAAAAAUGCUGACAUGAGUAACGCUUAUUGAUGAAAAUUCAAUAUAUCGAAACCCUAAGGAUUCCUACGCAACGUUCAUCGUCGUAGGGUUAGUCGGGACCUAAGGCUUAUCCAGAAGUGGAGAGUCGAUGGAUAACUGGUUAAUAUUCCAGUACUUAUAUAUAGAGUGAUGGGGUGACGCAUUGAGAUUUGUGAGAGCUCAUUAAGGAUUUGAGUCGAAAGAGUGAGGUUUUUAUAACCCUAGGUUAUAAAGGUGGCUGCAGGAAAAUCCACAGCUAUUGAUACUGAACUUGAUCGGAAUUUGAUUCCUCGGAAUUAGAAAUUCUCAUCGUUUUGGUGCCGAGAAAAACCUCUAAACUUAAUCUAUAUGUAACCCGUACCCAGAUCAGACACUUGUGGGGUGGUAGAGAAUACUAAGAUAAUCGAGAUAAUUAAUGGGUAAGGAACUUGGCAAAUUAGCGGACGUACUUUCGAAAUAAGUCCUGUCCCGAGUAAUCGGGAUCGCAGCGAAAGAGAUGGGGGGAACUGUUUAUCACAAACACAGCUCGUUGCUAACUCGUAAGAGGAUGUAUAACGGGUGAUGCCUGUCCAAUGCCAGAAUGUUAUGCUCUCUUGUGCAAGCUCGAGGGUUAAGCACUGGUGAAUGACGGCCGUAACUAUGACGGUCCUAAGGUAGCGAAAUUCCUUGUCAGGUAAGUUCUGACGCGCAUGAAUGGCAUAAUCAUCCCCAUGCUGUCUUACCCUUAAACUCGGUGAAAUUACAUUCCCGGUAAAAAUGCCGGGUAGUCACAGUUAGACGGAAAGACCCUGUGAAGCUUUACUGUAGAUUGAUAUUGGAUUGUAGCAUGUCUUGCUCAGUAUAGGUGGGAGGCUUUGAUGUUUCAACUUCGGUUGGGGCGGAGCCAAUAGUGAGAUACCACCCAAAAUAUGUAGCAAUUCUAAUCCCUAGGUUGGGAGACAGUUUCAGUUGGACAGUUUACCUGGGGCGGGUGCCUCCUAAAAAGUAGCGGAGGCGUGCAAAGGUUUGCUUACUACGGAUGGAAACCGUGGUGAAUGUGUAUUCGCAUAAGCAAGCUUGACUGUGAGACUGACAGGUCGAGCAGAUACGAAAGUAGGCGAAAGUGAUCCGGAUCUUCCGAGUGGAAGGGGAUCCGCUCAACGGAUAAAAGUUACUCCGGGGAUAACAGGCUAAUGGAAUCUAAGCGUUCACAGCGACGAUUCCGUUUGGCACCUCGAUGUCGACUCGUCGCAUCCUGGGGCUGUAGAAGGUCCCAAGGGUUGGGUUGUUCACCCAUUAAAGCGGGACGCGAGUUGGGUUCAGAACGUCGUGAGACAGUUCGGUCCCUAUCUACUGUGACCGUAGGAUAUUUGAGAGAUGCUGACCCUAGUACGAGAGGACCGGGUUGGACGAGCCUCUGAUAGUACCAGUUGUUCCACCUAGGAGCACGGCUGGAUAGUUAA
rnacentral:rRNA from 1 species